UGCCUAACACAUGCACGUCGAACGGCAGCAUGACCUAGCUUGCUAGGUUGAUGGCGAGUGGCGCACGGGUGAGUAAUGCGUAGGAAUAUACCUUAAAGUGGGGGAUAACCUGGGGAAACUCAGGCUAAUACCGCAUGAGCUCUGAGGAGGAAAGCUGGGGACCGUAAGGCCUGGCGCUUUAAGAUUAGCCUACGUCCGAUUAGCUAGUUGGUGGGGUAAGAGCUUACCAAGGCGACGAUCUGUAGCUGGUCUGAGAGGACGACCAGCCACACUGGGACUGAGACACGGCCCAGACUCCUACGGGAGGCAGCAGUGGGGAAUUUUGGACAAUGGGGGCAACCCUGAUCCAGCAAUGCCGCGUGUGUGAAGAAGGCCUUCGGGUUGUAAAGCAC
rnacentral:rRNA from 1 species